rnacentral:pre_miRNA from 1 species
GGUAGAAUUACUGGGUCACAUGGUAACUCGGUGUUUAACCUUAUGAGUGACUACCAAACCAUUUUCCAAAAUGACUCCACCAUUUUACAUUGCUACCAGUAUU